CCCCCGAUGGUGGAAUUGGCAGACACACCGCGUUCAGGGCGCGGCGCCGCAAGGCAUGAAGGUUCGAGGCCUUCUCAGGGGACCA
rnacentral:tRNA from 1 species